rnacentral:misc_RNA from 1 species
GAUGAAGAACGUAGCGAAAUGCGAUAAGUAGUGUGAAUUGCGGAAUUCAGUGAAUCAUCGAAUCUUUGAACGCACAUUGCGCCCUUUGGUAUUCCUUAGGGCAUGCCUGUUCGAGCGUCAUUUAAACCUUCAAGCUAAGCUUGGUGUUGGGUGACUGUCCGCUUCACGGCGGACUCGCCUCAAAAUUAUUGGCGGCCGGUACAUUGGCUUCGAGCGCAGCAGAAACGCGAACUCGGGCCCGUCGUAUUGGCUCCCAGAAGCUAUCUUCACAAUUUUGACCUCGGAUCAGGUAGGGAUACCCGCUGAACUUAAGCAUAUCAAUAAGCGGAGGA